UACGAAGGGGGCUAGCGUUGCUCGGAAUCACUGGGCGUAAAGCGCACGUAGGCGGAUCUUUAAGUCAGGGGUGAAAUCCUGGAGCUCAACUCCAGAACUGCCUUUGAUACUGGGGAUCUCGAGUCCGGAAGAGGUGAGUGGAACUCCGAGUGUAGAGGUGAAAUUCGUAGAUAUUCGGAAGAACACCAGAGGCGAAGGCGGCUCACUGGUCCGGUACUGACGCUGAGGUGCGAAAGCGUGGGGAGCAAACAGG
rnacentral:rRNA from 1 species